rnacentral:rRNA from 1 species
ACGGGUGAGUAACGCGUGGAUAAUCCGCCCUGGUAUCCUGGAUAACAUCUCGAAAGGGGUGCUAAUACGGGAUAAGCCCACGGGGACUUCGGUUCUUGCGGGAAAAGGUGGGGACCUUCGGGCCUACCGUAUCAGGAUGAGUCCGCGUGCCAUUAGCUAGUUGGCGGGGUAAUGGCCCACCAAGGCGACGAUGGUUAGCUGGUCUGAGAGGAUGAUCAGCCACACUGGAACUGAGACACGGUCCAGACUCCUACGGGAGGCAGCAGUGGGGAAUUUUGCGCAAUGGGGGAAACCCUGACGCAGCAACGCCGCGUGAGUGAUGAAGGCCUUCGGGUCGUAAAGCUCUGUCAGAGGGAAAGAAGUGUAGUAGGGAUAAUAUUCCUAUUACUUGACGGUACCCUCAAAGGAAGCACCGGCUAACUCCGUGCCAGCAGCCGCGGUAAUACGGAGGGUGCAAGCGUUGUUCGGAUUUAUUGGGCGUAAAGCGCGUGUAGGCGGUUUUUUAAGUCUGAUGUGAAAGCCCCGGGCUCAACCUGGGAAGUGCAUUGGAAACUGGGAGACUUGAAUACGGGAGAGGGUAGUGGAAUU